GUGAGUCAUCGAAUCUUUGAACGCAUAUUGCGCUCGAGGCUUCGGCCAAGAGCAUGUCUGCCUCAGCGUCGGGUUAAUACUCGCUCGCCCCAAACCCUGCGUUUGGAGCGCGGCGGACCUGGCUGUCCCAGCCCUCUCUGUGAUUCGUCACAGUAGAGCGCGCUGGGUUGGCUGAAGAACAGAGGUUGAUGCAAUGGACCCGUUAAGGGCCUCGGCUUUGGUAGUGCAACUCGUUGCUCAAUGCUAACAGCUGAUGGCCUGGGACCGUGCCUGUCAACCCAAACCAGGAAAUAAUAUUAA
rnacentral:misc_RNA from 1 species